rnacentral:rRNA from 1 species
UGAGGAACAUGACUUUCGGUGGGGGAGUAGCCGGCCCAACGGCCGGGUAAUACCGCGUACGACCUUUUGGGGACAUCCCUGAUUGGUGAAAGCAGCAAUGCGCCGAUGGAGUGCCUCGCGGCCUAUCAGCUAGUUGGUGAGGUAACGGCUCACCAAGGCGACGACGGGUAGCUGGUCUGAGAGGACGACCAGCCACACUGGGACUGAGAUACCGGCCCAGACCUCCGUACGGGGAGGNACGCG